CAUGAUAACUUAACGAAUCGCAUGGCUUGCGCGGCGAAUGGUUCAUUCAAAUUUCUGCCCUAUCAACUUUCGAUGGUAGGAUAGUGGCCUACCAUGGUGAUCAACGGGUAACGGGGAAUUAGGGUUCUAUUCCGGAGAGGGAGCCUGAGAAACGGCUACCACAUCCAAGGAAGGCAGCAGGCGCGCAAAUUACCCAAUCCCGACACGGGGAGGUAGUGACAAUAAAUACUGAUACAGGGCUUUUUUGGGCCUUGUAAUUGGAAUGAGUACAAUUUAAAUCCCUUAACGAGGAACAAUUGGAGGGCAAGCCUGGUGCCAGCAGCCGCGGUAAUUCCAGCUCCAAUAGCGUAUAUUAAAGUUGUUGCAGUUAAAAAGCUCGUAGUUGAACCUUGGGCCUGGCUGGCCGGUCCGACUCAACGCGUGCACUGGUCCGGCCGGGCCUUUCCUUCUGGGGAGCCGCAUGCCCUUCACUGGGUGUAGUCGGGGAACCAGGACUUUUACUUUGAAAAAAUAAGAGUGUUCAAAGCAGGCCUUUGCUCGGAUACAUUAGCAUGGAAUAAUAGAAUAGGACGUGCGGUCCUAUUUAGUAGGUUUCUAGGAACGCGUAAUGAUUAAUAGGGAUAGUCGGGGGCAUCAGUAU
rnacentral:rRNA from 1 species